UACGUAGGGGGCAAGCGUUGUCCGGAUUUAUUGGGCGUAAAGAGCGUGUAGGCGGCUUUGCAAGUCCGUUGUGAAAACUCGAGGCUCAACCUCGAGACGCCGGUGGAAACUGCAAAGCUAGAGUCCGGAAGAGGAGAGUGGAAUUCCUGGUGUAGCGGUGAAAUGCGCAGAUAUCGUGAGGAAGACCAGUGGCGAAGGCGGAUCUCUGGACAGCUCCUGACGCUGAGGCGCGAAGGCUAGGGGAGCAAACGGG
rnacentral:rRNA from 1 species